rnacentral:misc_RNA from 1 species
GUUCUCUGGAAAAAUAGUAGUUGAGGUACAUUGGUAUGCGUUUUCAGACGGGCAGGCAUGGAAAAAUGGGAACUCUAACCAAGUGUGUGGAAGAGUAGUGAGUAAUAUGAUGAGGGUAUCAGGGUUUUUGUUAGACCAAGGUUGGCCAUUGUUUGUGAGUGAGUUUGGAGUGGAUCAAAGAGGUACAAAUGUGAAUGAUAAUAGGUACUUGGGUUGCUUCCUAGGUGUGGCAGCUGAACUUGACUUGGAUUGGGCUUUGUGGACACUAGCUGGGAGUUAUUAUCUCAGGGAAGGUGUGAUUGGUUCAAAUGAGUUUUAUGGGGUGUUGAAUUGGAAUUGGUGUGACAUUCGGAAUUCAAGCUUCUUGCAACAAAUAUCUGCCCUCCAAUCUCCUUUUCAAGGUAUAUUGUUGCAAAAAUGAUUAGAGGGACAGAAUCAUGCUUUCAUUCCUACACCAGUGUGAAUUUUGCAUAGGACGUGGGUUUCAUAUAUGGAGUUUGAGAAUAUUAGGACAGGCUUCAAUCCUGCAUAAUUAUCUUUCACGUUUGUAACAUCUGGCUAGCUCUCCACUAAUUGGUACUAUAUCCC